CAUGCAAUAAUAUCAGAGAGUAACUACCAUAAAUAACUACCAUAAGGGUGCUGAUAACUACCAUAAAUAACUACCAUAAGGAUCCAUAAAGAAGUGACCAUGGAUCGGAAAACAUAAAAGGUGCUGAUGACUUACCUAUGGCUUUCAGCUAGAUUGUUAACCAAGCCAUAGAAGGCAAUAGAGCGAUCAAUACUUUUGGUCCCUUCAUUUUCAUUUUCUUCAACAAUUGACUCUGACCAUUCAAUACUCCUCAUGAAAAGAGGUUUGAACACUUUUUCUGUGAGUUUCAUGGUAAGCCUAACCAGUGUAUUAAUGACAUUCUUCUCAACAGCAUCAAUAUUUCUAACAGCAGCAGGGUGCUGACGUCGCAGAUCAAGAGCUUGCAAGCAUAAGUCAAAUAUCCUUACAUGAUAGGCAUCAACGGAUGAUCUAUCCAUAGCAGCCACAAGGUUUUGUAAAAUAUCCUUACAUGAUAGGCAUCAAUGGAUGAUCUAUCCAUAGCAGCCACAAGGUUUUGUAUCAUUUCAAACGCAAUCGAUACACUAGAAUCCCCGUACGUAAUAGCAUCAGAACAUAUCCUCAACAAUGGAGAAAGUAAAAGACGAACCUGCUCAAUCAAUGAGUAGAAGAAGUUCAUGGUAACCUUCUAAGUACUGCAUACAUGAAAUCAUACCAUAACAAUAAAUGCAGUAGAUGAAACUUACAGGGACCCUUUCAGUGAUUAGCUUACGCACAGAAUCAGCUUUCGACUUCAGUUUUGGUUCUGACGUGGAAGUGUACUGAGGCUUUAAUAGCAUGAGUUCCAAAAUAUCACCGAGAUAUGGAUUUAAAAAGGCACCAAGCUUGUUUACAACUGCCUCUAGGGCGAGUAGAAUAGACAUGGAGACGGAGUCAUUAUGAAUCAGUGAAACAACGGAAACAUCACCAUCAGUUUGCUUGGUUUCUGCUGUUAAAGCAGACAAAGCAUAGUGAGAUUGCCUAAUCAUGCCUUCCAUGACAAGAGGCAGCUGAUGUAGCGCCUUUGGCCCUAACACAUUAAUCAAGGCACCAGUUGUACGAAGACAACUAGAAGAAACAGCAGAAUCGUCUGCACAUAUGCUUUUACUAACAGAAUCUAAGCACAAGCUAAACACUGAAUUAUCCGAAGGAAACCUGUUUGCCAAAACUUCCAAUGUUGACACUGCUGCCAGUUUCAAAGAACUACUUGAUUCGCUCUGUGAAUUAACUAAUUUUAAUAUCUCAAGACACAAGGUGUUUAACGAUUGCAAAGAAUUCACGUCCAGAUGAAACCAUGAUCUCCUCGCAUUCAAAGCUGGACUCCUUUUUUCAUGCUUGGAGUCAACUAACCCAGUAUCCUUCACUGUCUCAGACAAAGUUCCAAGAGC
rnacentral:lncRNA from 1 species